GACGAACGCUGGCGGCGUGCCUAAUACAUGCAAGUAGAACGCUGAAGGAGGAGCUUGCUUCUCCGGAUGAGUUGCGAACGGGUGAGUGACGCGUAGGUAACCUGCCUCGUAGCGGGGGAUAACAAUUGGAAACGAUAGCUAAUACCGCAUAAGAGAAGAUGUUGCAUGACAUUUACUUAAAAGGUGCAAUUGCAUCACUACCAGAUGAACCUGCGUUGUAUUAGCUAGUUGGUGGGGGAAUGGCGUACCAAGGAGACGAUGCAUAGGCGGCCUGAGAGGGUGGUCGGCCACACUGGGACUGAGACACGGCCCAGACUGCUACGGGAGGCAGCAGUAGGGGAUCUUCGGCAAUGGACGGAAGUCUGACCGAGCAAAGGCGGGUGAGUGAAGGAGGUUUUCGGAUCGUAAAGCUCUGUUGUAAGAGAAGGACGAGUGUGAGAGUGGAAAGUGCACACUGUGACGGUAUCUUACCAGAAAGGGACGGCUAACUACGUG
rnacentral:rRNA from 1 species